GGGCCCCUUUGGGGCCCCCCUCCGCUGCUAGUUGGCUCAUGGGGGGCCCCUGGGGCCCCUGUGAAUCUGCUGCAGCAGCACCAGCAGCAGCAGCAGCAAAUGCCGGGGUUGCCGCAGCAGCUGCUGCUGCUGCUGCUGUCCCAGCUGCAGCACAG
rnacentral:snoRNA from 1 species